rnacentral:rRNA from 1 species
ACGGGUGAGUAACGCGUGAGGAACCUGCCUCAAAGAGGGGGACAACAGUUGGAAACGACUGCUAAUACCGCAUAAGCCCACAGCUCGGCAUCGAGCAGAGGGAAAAGGAGCAAUCCGCUUUGAGAUGGCCUCGCGUCCGAUUAGCUAGUUGGUGAGGUAAUGGCCCACCAAGGCGACGAUCGGUAGCCGGACUGAGAGGUUGAACGGCCACAUUGGGACUGAGACACGGCCCAGACUCCUACGGGAGGCAGCAGUGGGGAAUAUUGCACAAUGGGGGAAACCCUGAUGCAGCGACGCCGCGUGGAGGAAGAAGGUCUUCGGAUUGUAAACUCCUGUUGUUGAGGAAGAUAAUGACGGUACUCAACAAGGAAGUGACGGCUAACUACGUGCCAGCAGCCGCGGUAAAACGUAGGUCACAAGCGUUGUCCGGAAUUACUGGGUGUAAAGGGAGCGCAGGCGGGAAGGCAAGUUGGAAGUGAAAUCCAUGGGCUCAACCCAUGAACUGCUUUCAAAACUGUUUUUCUUGAGUAGUGCAGAGGUAGGCGGAAUUCCCGGUGUAGCGGUGGAAUGCGUAGAUAUCGGGAGGAACACCAGU